CCCCUAGAUGUUCUGGGCCGCACGCGCGCUACACUGAACAGUUCAACAAGUCUUAACCUUGGCCGAUAGGUCUGGGUAAUCUUUGAACGCUGUUCGUGAUUGGGAUAGACCUUUGCAAUUAUGGGUCUUCAACGAGGAAUUCCUAGUAAACGCAAGUCAUCAGCUUGCAUUGAUUACGUCCCUGCCCUUUCUACACACCGCCCGUCGCACCUACCGAUUGAAUGGUCCGGUGAAAUCUCGGGACGGCGGCUUGGUCGCUUGCGUCCGACUGCUGAAACUUGAUUAAACCAUAUCAUUUAGAGGAAGGUGAAGUCGUAACA
rnacentral:rRNA from 1 species